GGUGGGGGUAAAGGCCCACCAAGGCGACGAUCCGUAGCUGGUCUGAGAGGAUGAUCAGCCACACUGGAACUGAGACACGGUCCAGACUCCUACGGGAGGCAGCAGUAGGGAAUAUUGGACAAUGGGCGCAAGCCUGAUCCAGCCAUGCCGCGUGAGUGAAGAAGGCCUUCGGGUUGUAAAGCUCUUUCGGCCGGGAAGAAAUCGCAUGGGUGAAUACCCUGUGUGGAUGACGGUACCGGAAUAAGAAGCACCGGCUAACUACGUG
rnacentral:rRNA from 1 species